UUUUUGCAGGUAAAAAAAAAACGAAGGUAUCCCUUCGUUGAGAUAGCUGUAUUUCUGACAUGAUGAUUCUUUUUCUUUUUUGCAAGGUAUGAUGAUUGAUAUGUAGGGCUAACUGCACAGAGGACGAUCGAAUGCACGCCGUGGUGUACUCCCUCGUCACGAGAAAAACAUUGGGACAUUUUUUAACAUUAUAAUUGUGUCAAAAAACGUCUUACAUUAUCUGACAGAAGGAGUACUAUGUGUGUUGGUGAAUAUGAAUUUACGCCGGUGCCCCUCGCCCGUCAAACGCUGAGGUGACCAAGGGUAAAAGAAAUGUUGCACUUGUAUUUUUUAAUCAAAAAUAUGUAAAAAAAAUAAAUAAAUCCAUAUUGCCUCUCAACUUCUUAUUUCUUGUGUGGAGUUCUUCAUCUCGUAUGAUGUAAAAAGGAAUGUUUUCUUGGGGAAAACAUGCGCGCACACACAAUUUGUGUUAUGAAAACAAUGUGCAAGUUAUUUGAAUUUUUCAAACCUCCAUAGCACAAAAUCGACGACCAUGUAUAAUUUGCAUUACAAUUUGAGGGCUUAUCUUCCUUGCACUCCCCCACAAGCAACAUGCUAGGUCAUGUGCGCAUUUAAGUAAAAAAAAGUUGAAUAUGAGACCUGAGGCCUUACGACAUGUAUUUUAUACGCAUAUUCAUAUUUAUUACGGCAAAAAAGUGACAUGUCACAUGAGGUUUUGCUAAAUUGGUAAAAAAAGGUUAAUGAGAAAAUAAUGUGAUUGUCUCAUGUUUCUUAACGUUUAAGAUAAAUGUUCCUCCCCGUUGUACUAUAUGUGAUGUUUUGGUCGUAUAUUUCAGCUUAAAAUCAUUCACCGCAAAAAAAAUACAGUUAUGUUAGUAUUAAGUGCUAGAUGUAACACGGAAGGAUAUGGCACGCAAGUUUUCUGAACCAAUGCAUACCCUUAUAUUUAUGUACAUGGGGUUAGGAAGAUUUAUUACCCAACUCAUGUCCCAACCAAAAUAUCCACAUGUAUGAUCUUGUAUUCAUUUCUUACCUACAGUGUGCCGUCUUUCUUUACUCUACUUCAAAUAUAUUUAUCUUGCAACAGAGCACUUCGCCUUGCUUUAUUUGCAAUCAGGAGGAGUACAACGUGGAUCACAUACUUAUGCAAUAUGUGAAUGCGAGAGAGCUUUGGUGCAAAUGCUUCAUGGAGCUUCAGAUUUAGGUUUCGGUCCCAACAAAGUGUGACUGCCUUGCGGAGUGGUAUCUGAGGUCAAGAAAACCUUUGUUGAAGAGAAUCAGGAGAGUAUUAUAUAUAUGAAUCAGGAGAUUUUUUUUUAAUGCAUCAGGAGAGGUUUUGAUUCAAUGGUCAUUCUCAUUACGUGGAAUCUCUGGAAAUAGCGCAAUGCAAGGGUCUUUCAGAACUUGGAGUAGCAGCGGACCGUCUCAGCCCUCGUCACUCACAUUCGAGUUGCCGGAGCGGUGUGUUUAGAUAGUUCCGUGAGAAAGUGGAUUUGUUUAGCUUUGUCGUUUGGUAUUCCCUCCUUUCCGGUUUAUAGGGCUGAAAUCCGAAAUCUCAUCAACCAAGGUAGAUGGCGAGUGGAGGAAUGUGUCGUGUAGUUAAUAAAAUUACUCAAAAUUUAAUCUGCAUUAAUUAUAGUGUAUGCAUGGAUGACCACCAAAUGAGUGGAAUGGUUACAUGCAUUUGUUGGUUUCUUUUAAUAUUUGCGUGUAUCAAUUUAAUGCAUCUUAAAAUAUGAACAUGUAAUGGAUAUGUAACGCCCCAUAUGUAACCUGCCAUAUUUGUUUUCCAACUCUUGCCAUUUCUGGCACUAAGUUAUGAUAUUUCCUCGUUGUUGGGUUUUUGCCUUUGUGUUGCUUUUGUCUUUGUCAUGUAUCUCAUAUCAUGUCAUCAUAUGCAUCGCAUUUGCAUACGUGUUCGUCUCAUGCAUCCGAGCAUUUUUCCCGUUGUCCGUUUUGCAUUCCGGCGCUCCUAUGUCCUCCGGUGUCCCUUUGUACCUCUUUUCGUGUGCGGGUGUUAAACGUUCUCGGAUUGGACAGAGACUUGCCAAGCAGCCUUGGUUUACUACCGGUAGACCGCCUGUCAAGUUUCGUGCCAUUUGGACUUCGUUUGAUACUCCAACGGUUAACCGAGGAACCGUAAAGGCCUCGUGCGUGUUGCAGCCCAACACCUUUCCAAAGUGGCCCAAAACCCACCUAAACCCCCUCCAUCAUCUCGGUCGUUCGAUCAUGAUCGCGGCCGAAAACCGUGCUCAAUUUGGAGCCUCCUAACUCCCUCUACCUAUAAAAAGGCAUCUCCCCCCAAAAAUCAUGGAUGAAACCCUAACCUAAUCCCCCCUCCGCCGCCGGACGAAGCUCCCCACCGACGGACGUGUCCGCCCGCCGCCGCCCGACCAGUCGCACGCCGCCACGUGGGCCGCGCCCACUUCCCCCGCGCCGGCCCGCCGGGGCCCAGGCGGGGCCCUCCCAGCCCGAAGCCGUCGCCGCCCGCCCGCGCGCGCCUCCUCGUUGUCGCGCCGUCCAGUCGCCAUCUUCAUGUUGAUCGUAUCUUUUAUAUGACUCAUGCUCGACCUUUCGGUCUUCUGUGUUCCGAGGCCAUGUCUGUACACAUGCUAGGCUCGUCAAGUCAACCUAAGUGUUUGCAUGUGUAAAUCUGUCUUACACCCGUUGUAUGUGAACGUUAGAAUCUAUCACACCCGAUCAUCACAUGGUGCUUCGAAACAACGAACUGUCGCAACGGUGCACAGUUAGGGGGAACACUUUCUUGAAAUUAUUAUGAGGGAUCAUCUUAUUUACUACCGUCGUUCUAAAAACAUGAUAAACAUCACAUGCAAUCAAAUAAUAAUAGUGACAUGAUAUGGCCAAUAUCACAAAGCUCCUUUGAUCUCCAUCUUGGGGCUCCAUGAUCAUCUUGUCACCGGCAUGACACCAUGAUCUCCAUCAUCGUGUCUCCAUGAAGUUGCUCGCCAACUAUUACUUCUACUACUAUGGCUAACGCGUUUAGCAAUAAAGUAAAGUAAUUUACAUGGCGUUUCUCAAUGACACGCAGGUCAUACAAAGAAUAAAGACAACUCCUAUGGCUCCUGCCGGUUGUCAUACUCAUCGACAUGCAAGUCGUGAUUCCUAUUACAAUAGCAUGAACAUCUCAUACAUCACAUAUAGAUCAUUCAUCAUUCAUCACAACUUUGGCCAUAUCAUAUCACAAAGCACUUGUUGUAAAAACAAGUUAGACGUCCUCUAAUUGUUGUUGCAAGUUUUACGUGGAUGAAGUAGGGUUCUAGCAAGAAUGUUUUCUUACCUACGUGAAAGCCACAACGUGAUUUUUCAACUUCUAUUUACCCUUCAUAAGGACCCUUUUCAUCGAAUCCGCUCCAACUAAAGUAGGAGAGACAGACACCCGCCAGCCACCUUAUGCAACUUGUGCAUGUUAGUCGGUGGAACCGGUCUCACGUAAGCGUACGUGUAAGGUUGGUCCGGACCGCUUCAUCCCACAAUACCGUUGAAGCAAGAUAAGACUAGUAGCGGCAAGAAAGUUGACAACAUCAACGCCCACAAUAAAUUGUGUUCUACUCGUGCAAGAGAACUACGCAUAGACCUAGCUCAUAAUGCCACUGUUGGGGAAUGUUGCAGAAAACAAAAAUUUUCCUACGGUUUCACCAAGAUCCAUCUAGGAGUUCAUCUAGCAACGAGUGAUUAGAUGCAUCUACGUACCUUGUAGAUCGCGAGCGGAAGCGUUCAAAGAACGGGGACGAGGGAGUCGUACUCGACGUGAUUCGAAUCACCGAAGAUCCUAGCACCGACCGGACGGCACCUCCGCGUUCAACACAUGUACGAAACAGCCACGUCUCCUCCUUCUUGAUCCAGCAAGGGGGAAGGAGAGGUUGAGGGAGAUGGCUCCAGCAGCAGCACGACGGCAUGGUGAUGGUGGAGCUGCAGUACUCCGGCAGGGCUUCGCCAAGCACUAUGGAGGAGGAGGAGGUGUUGGAGAGGGAGAGGGAGGCACCAAAGAUCAAAGUAAGAAGUCCUCCAUCUCCCCACUAUAUAUAGGAGGGCCAAGGGGAGGGCGUCGGCCCUAGGAGAUCUAAUCUCCUAGGGGGGUGCGGCCAAGGGGAGGAAUCCCUCCUCCCCAAGGCACCUAGGGGGUGCCUUCCCCUCCUAGGACUCUUCCUUUAGGGUUUCCCCCACCCUAGGCGCAUGGGCCCUAGGGGGAAGUGGCGCCCCAGCCCACUUUGGGCUGGAUCCCUUCCCACUUCAGCCCAUGGGGCCCUCCGGGAUAGGUGGCCCUACCCGGUGGACCCCCGGGACCCUUCCGGUGGUCCCGGUACAAUACCGGUGACCCCGAAACUUGUCCCGAUGGCCGAAAUAGCACUUCCUAUAUAUAAUUCUUUACCUUCGGACCAUUCCGGAACUCCUCGUGACGUCCGGGAUCUCAUCCGGGACUCCGAACAACAUUCGGGUUACUGCAUAUACAUAUCCUUACAACCCUAGCGUCACCGAACCUUAAGUGUGUAGACCCUACGGGUUCGGGAGACAUGUAGACAUGACCGAGAUGCUCUCCGGUCAAUAACCAACAGCGGGAUCUGGAUACCCAUGUUGGCUCCCACAUGCUCCUCGAUGAUCUCAUCGGAUGAACCACGAUGUCGAGGAUUCAAGCAACCCCGUAUACAAUUCCCUUUGUCAAUCGGUAUGUUACUUGCCCGAGAUCUGAUCGUCGGUAUCCCAAUACCUCGUUCAAUCUCGUUAUCGGCAAGUCACUUUACUCGUACCGUAAUGCAUGAUCCCGUGACCAAACACUUGGUCACUUUGAGCUCAUUAUGAUGAUGCAUUACCGAGUGGGCCCAGUGAUACCUCUCCGUCAUACGGAGUGACAAAUCCCAGUCUUGAUCCGUGUCAACCCAACAGACACUUUCGGAGAUACCCGUAGUAUACCUUUAUAGUCACCCAGUUACGUUGUGACAUUUGGCACACCCAAAGCACUCCUACGGUAUCCGGGAGUUAAACGAUCUCAUGGUCUAAGGAAAAGAUACUUGACAUUGGAAAAACUCUAGCAAACGAACUAUACGAUCUUGUGCUAUGUUUAGGAUUGGGUCUUGUCCAUCACAUCAUUCUCCUAAUGAUGUGAUCUCGUUAUCAAUGACAUCCAAUGUCCAUAGUCAGGAAACCAUGACUAUCUGUUGAUCAACGAGCUAGUCAACUAGAGGCUUACUAGGGACAUGUUGGUGUCUAUUAUUCACACAUGUAUUACGAUUUCCGGAUAACACAAUUAUAGCAUGAAUAAAGACAAUUAUCAUGAACAAGGAAAUAUAAUAAUAAUGCUUUUAUUAUUGCCUCUAGGGCAUAUUUCCAACACAUUAUUAUAUCUUGUUUACUUUAAUGCAUCUAUACACUUGGUAAAGGGUGGAAGCCUCGGCCUUAUGCCUGGUGUUUUGUUCCACUCUUGCCGCCCUAGUUUCCGUCAUACCAGUGCUAUGUUCCUUGAUUUUGCAUUCCUCACACGGUUGGGUUAUAAUGGGAACCCCUUGACAGUUCGCCUUGAAUAAAACUCCUCCAGCGAGGCCCAACCUUAGUUUUACCAUUCACCACCUAGCCUCUUUUCCCUUGGGUUCCGCGGACUCAAGGGUCAUCUUUAUUUAAACCCCCGGGCCAGUGCUCCUCCGAGUGUUGGUCCAAACUAGAGCCCUUUGCAGCGCCCCCUUGGGGAAACUCAAGGUUUGGUUUUAGUUGUACGGAGCGCUCAUCCGGUGUGCCCUGAGAACGAGAUAUGUGCAGCUCCUAUCGGGAUUUGUCGGCACAUUCGGGUGGCUUUGCUGGUUUAGUUUUACCAUUGUCGAGAUGUCUUGUAACCGGGAUUCCGAGUCUGAUCGGGUUGUCUUGGGAGAAGGAAUAUCCUUCGUUGACCGUGAGAGCUUGUGAUAUGCUAAGUUGGGACACCCGUGCAGGGUUUUGAACUUUCGAAAGCCGUGCCCACGGUUAUGGUCAGAUGGAAAUUUGUUAAUGUCCGGUUAUAGAAAACCUGAAACUUAACUUAAUUAAAAUGAAUCAACAGAGUGUGUGUGGCCGUGAUGGUCUCUUUUCGGCGGAGUCCAGGAAAAGAACACGGUCUCAUGUAAUGCUUGAACGCAGGUUGUUCUAGGAUCACUUCUUGAUCAUAGUUUCUCGAUCGUGCCAUUGCCUUCUCUUCUCGCUCUCAUUUACGUAUGUUAGCCACCAUAUAUGCUAGUGCUUGUUGCAGCUCCACCUCAUACCUUUUACCUUACCUAUAAGCUUAAAUAGUCUUGAUCGCGAGGGUGUGAGAUUGCUGAGUCCCCGUGACUCACAGAUUACUUCAAAACCAGAUGCAGGGACCGAUGAUACCAUUCCAGGAGAUUCGACUGAGCUCAAGUGGGAGUUCGAUGAGGACUCAGGACGAUACUACGUUUUCUUUCCAGACGAUCAGUAGUGGUGCCUAGUUGGGGCGAUCGGGGACAUUAUGCAUUUGGGGUUGUCUUUAUUUUGGUUCCGUAGUCGGACCUUGAUUGUAUCUGGAUGAUUGUAAUGAUAUAUUUAUGCUAUUGUGUGAAGUGGCGAUUGUAAGCUAACUAUGUACCUCUUUCCUUAUUCAGUACAUGGGAUGUGUAAAGAUUACCCCUCUUGCGACAUUGCCUACAAUGCGGUUAUGCCUCUAAGUCAUGCCCCGACACGUGAGAGAUAUAGCCGCAUCGUGGAUGUUACAGGAUAACAGUGUAAAAAAGACUUACAAUAUGAAAAAAAGUAUGAAAGUGAGACGAGCGAAAUAAACCGAAAAGGAGGGAGUAUUGAACUGUUACAUCGGUUACAAUGCAAAACAUGUUUUCUUAUAAAUAUACUGUUGUCUUGUACCAAAAAUAAUAAUAUGCUACGCAGAUGAGUGCUAAGUCCUAUACUCAUAUAGGCCAAAGAUUGUGUGUGGCGAUACAUCACGUCGCUAUUUGUCCUUCCACUUCUCUUUAUGAAUAUUGUAAAAAUAAAAAAAAUAAUCCUAAAAACACUUUUCUCAUGAAUAGAGAAGUCUGCAACUUUCGAGAGAUUAAUUUGCAUGCAAAUCGACUUUUUUUUUGCGGGCAAGCAUGCAAAUUGACUUAGCGUGCAUUGUAAGACGAACAUCUAAUUCAUCGCAAAAAAGGGGAAUGAACAUCUAAUCAACCCUUUUGGCAAAGGUUAGGGCCUCUUUGAUUCGCAGGAUUGCAAAAAUGCGGGAAUAUGAAAAAUAUAGGAUUGAAAUGAUAUGAUCAUUGGAUUUCUAUAUGAUUUGAGUUUGUUUGAUUGUAUCACAGGAAAAAUAAAGGAUUUCGUACAAAAGGUUAGGGUGGAUGCUUUUUUUUUGCGGGAAAGGGUGGAUGCUAGAAUCCCUCCAUUCCCUUAUACAAGGCCACAAACUCAGAUUACAGGUAUCAAAGUAAAUUUUAAUGACUGUUUUGCAAGUCAAUUUUUGGAAAAAUUCCUAUGAAUUAAACGACCAAUACAGAGAAAAUUCAUAAGGAUUUCAAUCCCUUAAAAAUCCUAUAGAAGCCCUUUGAAUCAAAGAUGCCCUUAUCGUUCCCGAUGUCAAGCAUAGCCCUUGCCACGCACAGUAUCUAAGAACACGGGGAGGGUGACGAGCUAAACUGGGUUGCCGGAGCGAUUUUGCUAGCGACGCCGUCACGCUUCCAAGGCUCCGGCAGACGGCGACAGCGGCGCACGCUGAUUUCAGCAGGAAAGACCAAUCGCAGCAGCUCGAUGUGGAUCUUAUGAUCUUAUCCACACACACACACACACACACGGACACACCCCGUUCGUGCGCAUCCAAACUUUUUUUCCUACCUAAAGCACGCACGUCACCGAGCAAACCCAGUUGCUACGUCUGGUUCGAAUAGGAUAUUACACGGGCAUAUUAUUAUUUUCUUCUUCCUAUAUGCGCACAGAGUUUCACUGACAAUCACCGUUGCCAAAGGCUGCGGAAUUCCCAUGGAGCCGCCAAGAAUCCAGCAACAGCAGUGCCAGCCAUUCGGCCGACCCGUAGCCUAGUGGUGGCUGAACAAGCCGGCAAUUCAGCAGACAAACGGAGAGACAGCACUAGUGCAUAGCCGGAUAAAUAUGCCUACAAGUGGCCAAGAAAGCAUCCAUUCUUUUUCCCUUCCCGGAGAAAGCGGUCAAUUCCGGUGAUCACCCGCAGAGAACGCCGUCGUAAAAAGACCAGCACCGGCCGGGCGCCACCUUCAAUUCACGCCAAGCUCGAGUGAUAACCGAAUAACAGAAAGCGGAAACAACAUGAUGGCAAAGCAUCCAAGGAUCAUCAUAUAUCAGUCGCGCAGUAGUACAUAUAGGUGGAUAAUGGGUCUCUAGGACAGGCAAACAAACACGCAUAGCUCAUGAUAAAUGCCUCAGCUGCAAGGGUUGGCAUUGGGCACGCAAAAUUGUGGGGAAUAUUGUUGGUUCCUAGUUGCCCCGCCUGCCCCGGCCGCGACCGCCACGGAAGCCACCUCCACCACGGCCACCGCCUCGUCCUCCUCCUCUGCCACCGUUGCCCUUAAAGUGGUGACCCUUCUUGCCAUUUGAGUUCUUGUUGCCGGCCUUCAGGUCCUCGGGGAGAGGGAGUAUGUUGUCGACGCACUUGCGGAAGCUGAAAUCAUCGGCGGACCCAUCAACCCUGCGGAUGAAGAAACAGCGGCUCUGCCACACUGGGUGGUUGCGGAUCUCAAAGGCUUCCACGCCUGAUCCAAUCUUCUUGGCGGGCUCAGCGUGGCCUUUCUUCACCAGGUCCUCCAACACCAUCUGCUCGUACUGUAAAAGGUAAUAUUCAAGUUAGCACUCUGCGUCCGAAUGAAGAUGCCAAUAACGAACUUUCAUCUGGAUAAUAAGAACUAAGCUUGAAGGGCAUACAGUACCUUGGAGGCAACUCAAAAGCAUCAACUAACAUAAUCCUACAUUGUUUCACAGCCCAGAUGCAAUAACAAACUUUCAUCUGGAUAAUAACUAAAGCUUGAAGGGCAUACAAUACACCAGAGGCAAAUCAAAAGCAUCAAGUAACAUGAUCCUAAGAAGUCGUCAACAUAUCAAUAUGAUAAAUGAAUAUAUGCAGCACAAUCUGGGCCAGCCAAUUCAAAGUUUCUAAAUCAAAUUUAAAUAAGAUUACACCAACGCAAUAGAAGACAAGUCAAAUUUAUUUCAUUUAUACCAUCCUUAAGCUGUAAUAAAGUUUACAUAGCAAAGCACCGCAAGUUUUCAUAAGUCUAGCAAUGCCCAGCAGAAAGAGCAAAAGGUUCACUCUCCAGUAUUGCAUAACCACAUAGGCACUGCAAACUUGGAAGGAAUGUUAACAAUAUUCACGCAAUGACUUUACAUAGUCAAUAUUAACGCCAAAUCCUUAAUCUGCAGGAUCAGAUCAACACAACACAGCUUAUGGCCUAUAUAUCCUCCUGAUUGACAGCAAUACUAAAUUCAACUGACUAAAAUAUUUUGGAGCAGAACACAGAACAUUGUGCGAGGAGGGCAAAUAAGAUGCACCGGAAAAAAAGAGAUAACCAACCAAUAGCAAACCUCGUAUGGAACCAGAAAACCAAUGAGUUUUCAUGUCUUGACAGGAUCUAAGUGUGAUUGAGAUAUCAACUCUAACCAUGAACUCUAGAGACAAACUAUUUACAUACACUUCAGGCAGAGCACCAUGAAAAUAGAUCAACAUAUGCACCAAAAACAACCACAUAUACACUCAUUACAAAACUCAUAUGGAAAGAGAAGGUUAAUGUCUUGACUAGAUCAACUUGUGAUUGUGAUAUCAACGCUGACCAUGAACGCUAAAGACAAACUAUUACACACACUUGGGGCAGAGCACCAUGAAAAAAUAUUCAACUUAUGCACCAAAAACAACCACAAACCACUGAAUGACAAAAGUCAUAUGGAAACCCAAACAACCCAGUCAAAGAAAGAAGACCUUAAUUAGCAGGUGUAAUCUAACACUAUAUAUGAUAAUUCACACUCCCUCCCAAAAUAAGUGUCGCUGAUUUAGUACAACUUUGUACUAACUAUGUACUCCCUCCGUCCCAAAAUUCUUGUCUUAAAUUUGUUUAAAUAUGGAUGUAUCAAGUCAUGUUUUAGUAUUAGAUACAUCCGUAUCUAGACAAAUCUAAGACAAGAAUUUUGGGACGGAGGGAGUACUAAAUCUGCGUCACUUUUUUGGGCGGAGGGAGUAAUAAUAAACACAGGUAAAUGGAAGUAGAAGAUCAACCUUGCUUAAUCCAAGUAUACUAGAACACUGAAAUUAAUCAAAUCAAACCAAUAGGUUGCUACCACCCUAGUAAACUAACAUUUCAGGAUACAUAAUUGCAUUAGAAAGUAAAUAACUAGACCUCUAAACAGGUAAAGGGUCAAAUCAGGAAGCUGUGAGGUCUACGCAUGGCAUAAUAUUAGAUCCAACUUACAACCAGUUCGUUCAACCUUGACCAACUGCAAAUUUGUAACCUUCACAGUGCAUUUGUCGAGUACAAUUAGUUAGUUUACUUGGAACAAAUCGAUGUAAAAAACGAUUUGCCUAACGCAGGCCCAGGCACCACGAACUCCCCCAGCUAAUCAAAUCAACCUACCAGCUUGUGACUACCGUGGACCGGACUACAAACGCAAUACUCAUAGCAAAUCACAAUAUAGGCGCAACACCAAUAACAUCACCAUGGCACAAGCGAUUGGCUGAAUCCUAACGCUGACGGUCUCACCUUGUUGAACUCGAGGUUCGGCGACCACGAGUGGAGCAGCGCGAAGAAGUAGUCGAACAUGUCGACGGCCGUGGCGAACUCCUUGGGCCCCAGCUUGACGGGCUUCCCUUCCUCACCCUUGGCCCCCUCUUCCUCCCCGUUCCCGGCGACAUCCUCCGCCUUCUUCGCCUCUUCCUCCACCUUCGCCUUCUUGGCCGGCGCCUCCUCCGCCUCCUCGGCCGCAGCCACCGGGCCGGAGUCGUCCCCUUCCUCCCGCUCCCUCUUCAGGCUAGGGUUCGCCUCCGGGGCCUCGGUCUCCAUGGCCGCGGCUGCGGCGGCCGCUACCUCGGGUUCAGCCAUGGCCGGAGGUGCGCGCGGGAGGGUGGCCGGAGAUCGUAGCCGGGGACACGGAGGCGGUGGCGGUGGCGGCGGCUUGCUCGUAGGGUUUUGGGGGUUCUGUCCUCUGGGUGUGGAGAGGAGGGGACGAGUGCUUAAGAAUCAAGCGUUCGCACGGGAAUGCAACGAAGGAAUAAAACGAGGAGAGCCCAAGUGGCCCACUGGAGGGCAGCCCAGGAGCAGAGAGGAAAGUAAUCUGCGUCACUCCUCGGGCCCGGCCUGCUCUCUUUUUAGUUUACGGAGUAUACAUUUAUUUUCAACCUCCUCAAAAUUUGCUAAAAUAAACUCCUGAAAAGAAUUAUUUCCCUCCACUCCAAAAUAUAUAUUUUCCGAACAAUCUCUGAAAAUAUAAAAACAACGUCGGAAAUUACGGCUGCUGUCGAAACAAAUAAAAAAUAAAAAAUAAAAAAUAAGAAAACACAUGGAGAAUGCUCUAGCAACACGAGUGCAUGUUUCUAAUGGACAUUUUGAUAGUAAAAAUGCAAUUUCACUAUGUUUUAUGUUGUGACAAAUACAAUUUUACCCAUGAUAAAAUAUAAAAGACAGCACUGAUAUGAACAGCGAAAAUCUGAAGGCAAAAAUAAAAAUUACUGGGUUUUUGGCAACACGUUUACUAGUUUUCUACUUAUUUUCACGCACUUGAUAGAAUGCGUGUGACAACCAAAAAGUGCUCCAAAAUGCUUUCAAUUUUUUUUGUAACAUCAAUUUUAUUACUUUUGCUCAAAACAUCACGAUUGUUUUCUCAUCAUGAAACUUUUGCACAUUGAUGAAAGACUUAACAAUGAAAAAACAAGUAACUUCAAGCUUCAAAAUUUUUUUUUUUGAGCUUUGCUUGGAAGCCCCAUUGGUCUGGGCACUGUGCAGAUUGGCAGCACGGGCUGUCAGUACACUCCAAAACGAGCCAGCUUUUGCAUUAACCCUACUUGUACGUAUGUGCAGCGUGAAAGUCUCGAACGUACACCUUGCGCAGCAGCCAAACGAAACAAACAAGUUCCUUAAUUAAAUGCAGCACACAUCACACCAGUAAAUAGUCACGACGACCAGCACAGUAAUUCUCUAGUUCUGACAAACUUUGAUGCCACAUUCCUUAUUGCACACACUGAAAAUUACUAAGCCGCAAAUUAACAAUCACAAAUUCACACGCACACGUAGUACGUAGUACGUACACCCAAAUGCAUGGCUAAUGAUUCGAUUAACCGCAUGAACUAG
rnacentral:lncRNA from 1 species